rnacentral:rRNA from 1 species
UACGUAGGGUGCAAGCGUUGUCCGGAAUUAUUGGGCGUAAAGAGCUCGUAGGCGGUCUGUCGCGUCGGCUGUGAAAACUCGGGGCUCAACCCCGAGCCUGCAGUCGAUACGGGCAGACUAGAGUGCUGUAGGGGAGACUGGAAUUCCUGGUGUAGCGGUGAAAUGCGCAGAUAUCAGGAGGAACACCGGUGGCGAAGGCGGCUCACUGGCCCGAUACUGACGCUGAGGCACGAAAGCGUGGGGAGCAAACAGG